rnacentral:rRNA from 1 species
AACGUAGGAGCCAAGCGUUAUCCGAAUUCACUGGGCGUAAAGCGCGUGCAGGCGGUCUGGUAAGUUGGAUGUGAAAUCUCCUGGCUCAACUGGGAGGGGCCGUUCAAUACUGUCAGACUAGAGGGCGACAGAGGGAGGUGGAAUUCCGGGUGUAGUGGUGAAAUGCGUAGAUAUCCGGAGGAACACCAGAGGCGAAGGCGACCUCCUGGGUCGUACCUGACGCUCAGACGCGAAAGCUAGGGGAGCGAACGGG